CCUGCAUGACCACCUGCGUCACCACCCCAUCGCUUCUGAGCCACUGUGCCAUAUCUGCGUACAAUGAUUUCAUAAUUAAUUAGUAUUCUGCUAAGAUGUUUAUACAUAUAGCACAAGCUUUGGGACGUACGGUAUUUGCUGCUGAGACUUCUGCUGUUGCAGCUGAUUCUGGUCCAAUGCCUUGCUCGCCACCAGAGCGACUUGCAGUAGCACCGCUAGUGCAGCCUGUAAACAAGAUAAUUACAUGGAUAUGAAAUUUCACCGAUCGUAUCGUCUUAAUGGACAUUUGAACUGUGCAACUUGGCGUGUUCGUUCUAUUUAGGUAAGCACUUGGCUCAUAGAGAAAUCUCUUCUUUUUUUCACGAUAACAUUCUCGAUGUUACUCUUAACAGUUAUUCGUUUAUGGAAUCACUUUCGAAACUAGCCGUCGAUAACCAAGCAAACACGUUCAUUGAUGAGCAGUGAUCAGCAUUUUACAGUUUCGCCUUUGAUGUUCUCGAUUCCUUUGAUGCUUGUUGAAGAAAUUAUUGUAUCAAGAAAAGAAUAUACAUUUAUAAAGAUGAUCUAUUCUGAAAACAAUUCUGUAUUCGGCAAGGUACCGUUACGUUUCCUGAAAUAACAAGGUAAUACAAAUUAAAUAAUUCUAAAACGUAAAUUAAACUAUGAUUUAAAUUAACCAACACAUUCGCAUUACAAUCUACAUUACAGAAUUGAAGUUGCAUCAACCCCCUGAACAAAAUGUGUCUGGAGCAUUCAGUGUUCAUCCAAUCGGUAAAUGGUAAUCGGUAUUUAUCUUUAAAUAAUCUCAAACACGACAUUCUUGACAAUCGGUUGAUCACCAUUCGUCGAUCGUGACACUCACUACUUACUCCAGAUACGAUGAUCGUUCGAUGCAUCACCGUUUCUAACCGAACGCACCCCCUUUUUAGUAGUAUCGUUGAAGAACAAUCAAACGGUCGUAGCGGUGCUUACGAUCGUCACCAGGUUUAUAUUAGAGUAUAACUGAGACUUAUUUAAAUAGAAACUGACCGCGCAUCCCGGGCGAAUCCUCAUAUUUUCUCGCAAUACCGCCCGUCGGGCUCGGGCUGCGUACUCUUGUUCCCUAAGUGCAGGAAAACGUAAGUUACUUCGCCCAAUCAGCGGAACGCCGUAGUUAUAUAGGCGCGUAUUCCUCCCCCAGUGCUAUCGUGGUGUGCUGGGCCAGAUACUGCGAAGGUGGUGGUAAAGUCGUCCUGGUGGAGGAGGUAGUUCGCAUAGUUGGAGGAAAGGAAGUCGCGAUGGUGGUGGGUCCCAACGGACUCGCGUUUCGAAAAGCUCGUACCUUGGAUAGCGAUGGGGCCGAUCUUGUUUAUUGUGCAAAAAGACUUUUACUUUUAUUUCGCUCUUUAACUUAUAUUAUCCUUUUAUUUUCAGAUCUUUGCCUGUCUGUCGGUGAUCUUGAGAUGAAUGUAUGCAACAGUACACUCGUGUCUUCUCCCUGAAUUCUGAAUCCAAGUGUUGAACUCCCAUGAGAUUAAUUGAAUACUUUCCAUCGUAUCAAGAGAAAAUUGAACCCAUCGCUACGUCCGUUCUCCUUCUUCCUUGCUGUUGUCCACCUCCUACGAACCUGGCGAUCUUACUUGAUAGCACGGUUGCCCAUCGUUCCGGAGAAAGUGAUCGGGAACACGAUGAUCCGGUCGAGCGAGUCAAGCGGUUUCGUUCUGUUGCUAUUUACACGGCUCUGUCCGGCAAAGGCGAAGUUCACGGGGAGGCAAGGUUAUGCGGCAAGGUUAUACCUGGUGAUCCAGAUUACCUGACGACGAGAGAGUGGUGGAAAGAGAUCGAGCGCGGUACCGUGGCGUUUGAUGAAUCCUUUUAUUUUUUCUUCUGUAGACGGUUUAAUCGAUUUCAGAAUGGCGCCGCCGCGCCGCGCCGGUCCUGUCCGGGUUUCUCUUCCGGGAAGGCCCCGGGGCUGGACCAUUGCCGCUUUUCCUUUCAUGUAUUCUGUCUUUGGUGAAGAUUGCCCUGAAGGGAGGAUCGGUGAAGAAAUGUUAGAGAUCGAGAGAUAGAAAUAGUAAAUGGUAAAAGUUCAUUGUCCCACAGGUGAAUUUCACUUUGCUUUCAAAAGGGUCAUUCUUCUCCUGGGGAUGUCAGGAAUAACAAAUUUGACAUUUCAUAUAAUUAAAGUAUUAUUGUAUUUUUUAUUUGGAACAGUAAUACCUAUAUAAGCUGCAUUAGAUACGUGAAGUAUGCAUAAUUAUAAUAAAAGCGUGAAAAGUGUCGCCGUGGAAAAUCGGGAAGCUAAUUAUCGCUGCUAGACACAAUCUUCUUCCCCUUCGCGAUGAAUGAUUAUAAGCUUCCAGAGUUCGCACGAUUUCUAUCGAUUCCUCUUUCAUUAAUUAGGCAUUCAAACAUUAACUUUCGACUCGAAAUCUUACAGUUUUAUUGCUCGUUAAGUGAUUUAAUCCCAGUCGACAAAGCUACAUCGUGUUUAUAAUCAGCUUACAUAAUUCAAUGUUUUUAUCAAGGUCGUUAAAAGUUUGUCACGAUAUGUAAAGAAGAUAUACAUGUUCUUUUUUUUAGGAGAAUCAGGGGUCCCCCGGAAGAUUCUUCAUUCCGUGUUAUGACCGAUAAGUUUUCGCAAGAUUGAAUCUUCUUAAAAAGAACAGCACCCAUCGUAUUCUGACGAGACCGUGUUGCGUUUUAUUUGAAAAGCUCAUAAUCACGAAUACCUGCACGGGUGAAAGUACAUACCGAAGCUGAAAGGAAGAAAAUUUAUAACGUAAAAGCAACGAGUAUGCCAUCCAAGGAAUUACGAGGCAAAUUUUACGGAGGCGAGCAAUUACGAGAUACAGCUGAACCCUAGAACUACCACCUUUGGAGGAUGAAACAUAAUCGGCCAUAUAUUUCAGCAGAAGAACCUUCAUGAAUUUUGAAGUACUGUGACGAGUCACUCGGCUCGAUUUGCUAACAAGCUGAAAGCGAUAAGUGGUUAAAUUCGCACGAGAUACAUCGUCAUUGUAUAUGUAUUCGUCGAAUGAAAGCGAAUUCCUUUACUCUACGAUAGAGAGCCAGACAACUGGGAGUACAUGAAAUUGCUAGGAUCCAUUCCAGUACUUAUUGAAGAUGUUUAACAGGAUGCAGGUGUCGAAUCGGCGGACCAACCCUAGAAAUUUCUAAGUGUGAUUUACAGGAAGAGGAAACGUUAUAGCUAGUGGUAACGCGUGGGCAGAAGUAGAAGAACGGCGUUUGAAACAUUCCAAAGACGCGAUAGUAAAUAGAAGAGCAUGUAUUUGAGAAAUUUUUAUUUGCACUCCAAGUGUCAGGUUUAUGGACGAGUACCUACGAUUCACUUUCUAAACGUCCGUCCCUCAAGGUAGCCGACGAUAUCGCUUUUCGAAAUGUCUAGCUGUUCGAUAUUUGGGUUACGUUCGACGACUUAACUUUCAUGGAAAACAAACAAUUGCGACAGUUUCUUAGAAAACUUCAGUUCCAUUGUUAACUGUGUCAUCUAUAUUUUUUUAAGGAAGCUGGCAAUAUCAUAAUUUUCAUUUAAAAAAAUAAUUUCUGUAAUGAAUUUAAAUUUUGAAGCUGCUCAACAUUUCUUCUUUCUAGAAUGAAGCAUCACUCUGCACUUAUUGUCAGUCAUCUCGAAGGAAUGUCAUUCCACUUUUCCUGUGCAUCAAUUCUCUUGAAACCAUGUUUUUGCGUGUCUCACCGAAGUCAUGGAUAAUCAGUUUAAAUCUUUACACAAAUUUCACCGUCGUCGCGUCUGUGAUUUCUUCUUCUCGCUCGCCGUGCCCCUAUCUCGAACAACCCACAAUACAAUCCGUCGAGAGAACGAGCGACUCACAGCGUAUAGAAGAAAGUUUUAUCCUUCCUAUUUUACGCACGAUACAUAUCUUUCGGGUCUACGGUUUCUUCUUACUUCGCGAUCAUAACAUUUUGCUUUCUACCAUUAAAUGAAAAAUGCGAAGAAUCGUAAAUUAAAUCAUCUUCAAUUAUCUCCUGGAAAGGAUAGAAACGCAUCUAGGAUUCAAUUGAUAUUUACGAAGACGUAGCCGCAGAAGAAUAUUCUUCAGGAUUCAAGAAUUAAUGAAAACGCGUUUCUCGCAGUUUGUACGCGCGUCUAACUUUUUCUUCGCAAAACCGAUUAGUUUCUUAUUAAUCCUCAGGGUACAAUUAUGUUCUUCUAUAUCGGAAACCUUUCAUUUGUCUUGGACUUUUUACGAGUGUAAUUUCGCGCCAGUGAAAGGCGUCGCGUCGGAGAUGAUUUCAUGCCGGGGCGGUCGAACACGCGCACGUUCACAUUGCCAUAUAAACAAACGGUUAUCGCGUUACCUAAUCGUUACUACUCGCCAUCCAUUGUCAAUUAGCACGUUGCCCAGUAUUUUCGCCAAUUAAAGCGACCGUGCGAAUCUAUUUCGUUGAAAUGGUCGACUUCAACGCCUCAGUUUCUUUUAUGAGCCACUGAGGAAAGGAUUAUAGAAAUUAUCUCGACAAGCGCUCCGUUAUUAAAGGAAUUAUUCUUAAUUCAAAACUUUCAUUAUCGUCUAAGUAUUUAAAAUGUAUUUAAAAAUUAUGUACUGAAAAAUUAUUAUUUAUUGAAUCGGAAUUUUUUUACAAAGACUGUAAAGCAAUAUUGAUUGUGUAUUUUUCUGUUUAGGAUGCACAAGAAAACCGGAUGCGUCGCUCUUAUAAGCUUCAGGAAACCACUGCAGAAUUGGAGGUUCCUUUUCUUCGCUGUGAGAUCUUAAAUUGAGAUUUCAAAACCAGAAUGAACAAAGAAACACGGGGAUCAGACAUAAAAUGUAAUUGUCAAGAGUGGCAUUGGAGAGUGUCAGAAUGCGCUAAUCGUCUAGCAAGCAGGAUCAACUUUCACAUAUUGUAACAACUUCAUGAAGUUCUCAACAAGCAGGAAACGUUAUUAUCUCAAGUGACAAGUGGUUUUAUUUUAAGCUAGAAUUUUUUCUAAAAAAACGUGAUACUACUAGAAAAAUGUUACACGUUACUCUUUAAAGGAGCAGGCAAUCAGGUAUAUUUGAAUAAAUCCACUUAGAUUUUCUCCACGCCAAAUCAGUGUCGCUAUUAAAUACCAUCUAAAUAAUCCCAUUAGUUUAUCGACAGAUGUCAAGUUGUUAAAAGUCAGGCGAGGGAUUACGAUGUCUUUUAUAGUUUCAUAGAGGAUCGAUAAAGUUUAUGCUUUGUCAGUGUAGAGUAACGUUAAGUGAAAAGAAGUUGAACUAUGCUUUUGACUUGGAGAACUUUGGCGCACGACAUACAUCAAUCAACGAAAACCAUUAAUCAUCCAUGUCGACUGUGAUACCAGUGAAACCAUGGAUAGUGGAAUCGAAAGGAAACGCGUGUCACGUAUCUCCGAGGUCAUCAGGUUCAAACGGCUACCCUCUUCCCAUGUGACUCGGUCUUCUCUUUCCUGGUUGUUGGUCACGAGACGAUUUCCACGACGGGAAAGUCACGGUCAUGUAACGCGGGGACAUCCUUUACCGCAUCGAAAGAGAAACAGAUGCACGAGAGCUGGCGGUUUUCGAUGAGCAAAACGAACCGAGCCUGCACACGCUUCCGCUGUAACGAACGAGUAGAGAGUAGAGGAUGCAGAGAAGACGAAACUACCAGGUCGAGAGUGAAACUUAACUGUUCGAUGCGGCAACGUGAUUGCACCCAAUUAAGAAACUCCUUGAAUCAACAGUUUUCGAACCGGUGUAUCAAGUUCCGUGAGAGGUUCAAGAGGCUUCCGCGAAAAUAUUCUUAAACUAAUUAACGAAAAAUGAAGACUCAAGUUCUCAGAAUGGCUAUUUAACUCGUUCUCUGAAGAGCAAAGGCUGUGAACAUCUGUUGAGAAAUAGAUGCAACUUGAAGGCUGGAAAAUCACGGCUGUUCUGAGGCUCUCUGUGUAGCUGUAACCAAGAUAUACACUUGCACCCACCACGCACGCACGCACGCAUCAGGAGUUUCACUCUUCAGCGAAGCCUGACGAUAGGAGCUUCUCUUCAAACUUGUUCGACGGUCAUUAUACGAUAAUUGCAUUUAACUUGGCUAACCAAGGUGCUGCUUCCACCUGUAGGUGGACGUUCGAAAGCGAUUUUCCUUAUCCGACGAGGGAAGCCUGGCGAAUCGAUGUUAACGUGAGAUCACGACGAAGAAAGUAGAGGAACGAUACUCGUUAUUAAGGUCGAAGUAAUGAGGAAGACUGCACUCGUCUUCGUGACCAACUUCUACUGCACUCUUGUGCUGUUGGUUUUUCUUAGACUUACACUAAUAUAAAUAGAGAAGACAAUGAAUAGAUGGAAAUUCAUUUCUGAAUUCAACACCAAUGAUUAUUAAAUAUGUAGCAAAGUGUUGAGAUACUAUAUUUCUUCAAUAGUAUCAAUUAUCUUGUAGAUCGUAGAUCCUAUGUUCAUUUGAUCACUAUACAUAUAGUUAAGAAUAGAAAUUGCCUAAUCGUACAGUAUUCAAGAACCAAUUCGAAUUAAUCGAUUCACCGAGGGCAAACACUUUUCCGAAUGAACCGCGUUUAAAAUUAAUACCACACUUUUUCUCUCGGCGAAACUUUCUUCUCAUCACGCCAAUCUCCCAUCGUUGAUUCACGAUGGAGAUUAUUAUUUACUGUGAACAUCAGAUGUUUGAUUCGUUAGGGCUAUCGUGAAAGGUUGCAUCAAUUGAUCACGUAUAAAGUUGCAUGGACGAUUGACGGGUUGUGCUACUUCCGGUGUCUCCAGGCAUUUGCUUCUUUCUCAUCCCACACGCUGUGUCGUGCAGGAGAACGGAGAAAGUAAAGGUCGUGGACGAGGUGAAUCGCGACCCCGAAGAUCCACGGAUGUGCUGGUUCCCUUGAAUCUCAUCUUAUCCCUAGAAAGCAUCUUCCUUCUUUCUUCUUGUUACCUCUCAGGCUCUCUUCGUUUCACGAUGUUUAUGUUAGAAAACCACGCUUUCAUCUAGCGCGAGAAAAUUAAUGUCUACUCGAGGAUUGUGUACUACUUGUCUCUGAAUGAAGUGUGACGG